AGUGAACGUUGGCGGCGUGGAUUAGGCAUGCAAGUCGAGCGAGAACCGUAGCAAUACGGGGACAGCGGCGAAAGGGACAGUAAUGUGUAGGUACCUACCUCCGGGUUCGGGAUAGCUGCGGGAAACUGCAGGUAAUACCGAAUAACGUCUCCGGACCAAAGGUGUGAUUACCCCUGGAGAGGGGCCUGCAUCCUAUUAGCUUGUAGGCGGGGUAACGGCCCACCAAGGCGACGAUGGGUAGCGGGUGUGAGAGCACGACCCGCGUCAUUGGGACUAAGACACUGCCCAGACACCUACGGGUGGCUGCAGUCGGGGAUCUUCGGCAAUGGGCGCAAGCCUGACCGAGCGACGCCGCGUGCGGGAUGAAGGCCUUCGGGUUGUAAACCGCUGUCGUAGAGGAGGAAGUGCAGGGGGGUUCUCCCCUCUGUUUGACCUAUUCUAGGAGGAAGGACGGGCUAAGUUCGUGCCAGCAGCCGCGGUAA
rnacentral:rRNA from 1 species